GAAGCCUUUAAUUGACGUUGUACUAAAAAAAUUCCCAUGGAAGGAAGUUCUUGCAGGAUCUUUUAUCGACCGUCUAUGUUAUGCAGUAAUUGGAUCUGCUGUUUAGUUAGAAACUUAAACUUCUCAGCUUAGAAUUUAUACGAAGAAUGAUAUUUGAUUGGAAAAAGUUCCUGGUUGAGACAAGAGAUCAAAAAUGAUACUGAACAUUGGAAAGACGACCGGCAAUUUCAAGAUUCAUUUAUUUCCUUUCACAUUAUAGUAUUAUUAUAUUAAAAAAAUUGAAUUGCAUAUCUGGGCUCCCUUCUUUUCUGUGGCCACGUUUCCCCUUGACUUAUGAUAAGCCCGUAGGGGAACUAAAAAAUAGUUUAAAUCAUAAAUUUUUUGUUUCUUUGUUUAAUCCAUGUUCUUUGAAUUUUCUUUUAUACUUUCUUUGUAUUUACACUGUACAUUUUCUACCUUUAAGAAAUGGAAUCUUAAUACUGCUGAUUUAUAAAUUCUGGUACUGAGAAUUCCAGAGUGCCUUUGAAUUACCGCCGAUCACAAUCUUGUGAUUAGUAAUUUGAUGUUAUUUAUUCUUGAAUUUCAACUUUCCUUCGUAAUUCGUACUUUCCUGCAGAAUGAUUUGGUAUACAAUCUUUGUGUACAUCGGUUUAUCAUAUUUAUUGAAUUGCU